rnacentral:rRNA from 1 species
UCCGGAGGGGGCUAGCGUUGUUCGGAAUUACUGGGCGUAAAGCGCACGUAGGCGGCUUGGUAAGUUAGAGGUGAAAGCCUGGAGCUCAACUCCAGAAUUGCCUUUAAGACUGCCGAGCUAGCAGGUGAGAGAGGUGAGUGGAAUUCCGAGUGUAGAGGUGAAAUUCGUAGAUAUUCGGAAGAACACCAGUGGCGAAGGCGGCUCACUGGCUCAUACUGGACGCUGAGGUGCGAAAGCGUGGGGAGCAAACAGG